rnacentral:misc_RNA from 1 species
AAAAUACGUUCCGUCCGGCGAAGAUGAACUCAAAAGCUCGCCUGCGGUUGGGUGCGGAUUUAUCUGCCCCGGCCGCUGAAUAUACUUCAAACUUUUAUCGUCUGAAUCUUUUUGUUGUUCAUUUUGAACUCCAAUACGAAUUAUUAAA